rnacentral:rRNA from 1 species
GUGCAGCAGGCGAGAAACUUCACACUGUGCGAAAGCACGAUGAGGGAAUCCCAAGUGCUUGCACGUAAGUGUAAGCUGUUUCUCUGUUUAAAACGCAGAGAGAGUAAGGGCUGGGUAAGACGGGUGCCAGCCGCCGCGGUAAUACCUGCAGCUCAAGUGGUGACCGUUAUUAUUGGGCCUAAAACGUCCGUAGCCGGUUUAAUAAAUGCCUGGGUAAAUCGUGUAGCUUAACUAUACGAAUUCCGGGUAGACUGUUAAACUCGAGACCGGGAGAAGUUAGAGGUACUCCUGGGGUAGGGGUGAAAUUCUGUAAUCCUAGGGGACCACCAGUGGCGAAGGCGUCUAACUAGAACGGGUCUGACGGUGAGGGACGAAGCCCUGGGGCGC